rnacentral:rRNA from 1 species
UUUAUGGAGAGUUUGAUCCUGGCUCAGGAUGAACGCUGGCGGCGUGCCUAAUACAUGCAAGUCGAGCGAACGGAUGAGAAGCUUGCUUCUCUGAUGUUAGCGGCGGACGGGUGAGUAACACGUGGAUAACCUACCUAUAAGACUGGGAUAACUUCGGGAAACCGGAGCUAAUACCGGAUAAUAUUUUGAACCGCAUGGUUCAAAAGUGAAAGACGGUCUUGCUGUCACUUAUAGAUGGAUCCGCGCUGCAUUAGCUAGUUGGUAAGGUAACGGCUUACCAAGGCAACGAUGCAUAGCCGACCUGAGAGGGUGAUCGGCCACACUGGAACUGAGACACGGUCCAGACUCCUACGGGAGGCAGCAGUAGGGAAUCUUCCGCAAUGGGCGAAAGCCUGACGGAGCAACGCCGCGUGAGUGAUGAAGGUCUUCGGAUCGUAAAACUCUGUUAUUAGGGAAGAACAUAUGUGUAAGUAACUGUGCACAUCUUGACGGUACCUAAUCAGAAAGCCACGGCUAACUACGUGCCAGCAGCCGCGGUAAUACGUAGGUGGCAAGCGUUAUCCGGAAUUAUUGGGCGUAAAGCGCGCGUAGGCGGUUUUUUAAGUCUGAUGUGAAAGCCCACGGCUCAACCGUGGAGGGUCAUUGGAAACUGGAAAACUUGAGUGCAGAAGAGGAAAGUGGAAUUCCAUGUGUAGCGGUGAAAUGCGCAGAGAUAUGGAGGAACACCAGUGGCGAAGGCGACUUUCUGGUCUGUAACUGACGCUGAUGUGCGAAAGCGUGGGGAUCAAACAGGAUUAGAUACCCUGGUAGUCCACGCCGUAAACGA